UACGAAGGGAGCUAGCGUUGUUCGGAAUCACUGGGCGUAAAGCGCACGUAGGCGGAUUCCUAAGUCGGGGGUGAAAUCCCGGGGCUCAACCCCGGAACUGCCUUUGAUACUGGGUAUCUCGAGUCCGGAAGAGGUGAGUGGAAUUCCGAGUGUAGAGGUGAAAUUCGUAGAUAUUCGGAGGAACACCAGUGGCGAAGGCGGCAUCCUGGACCAACACUGACACUGAUGAGCGAAAGCCAGGGGAGCAAACAGG
rnacentral:rRNA from 1 species